CCGGGAGCCAACCGGAGAGCAGUUUGUAGCCUCUGCCAUCUGCCCCUGCGGCGAGAAGGGCACACAGGGGUCCUGCUUAUGACACUUACAGCAAGAAAAUUCUGUUUGGGUUUCAAGAUCCACCAUGUUCAAAGUCCUAGGAGCACUCAGUGUGGUGUGUGCUGGAUACAUUGGAAGCCUGUAUGUCAACAUUCAAACAUAAAGCUUGCCUCCACCCAGUCGGCCUCCCUCCCAGCCGAUCCUGUGUCCAUCUGGAUCAGAAUGGCCAUCCAAAAUAAAGAAAAACAGCAGCACACAUUCCCAACUUGUGUUUAUGUUAAUAUGGAGCUCUUUAAUUAAGGCUGCCCCCAGCUUUUAUUUCUAAGUCUUAGGUUAACCCACCUAGAACACUGUCUGGAAAACUUGUUUGGCCUGAAAAGUCAGUGGAAUCUCUCAUAGCAAAGGAAAAUAGUUCAGUAGUUUGAACAUAAUUCAUCAAAUGGCAUUUGAGUUGCAUUUUAAAAGUUAGCCUAUGCAGAGCUUGGGUUUGCCUAACACUCUUGUUGGGUCCACCCAGCUCAAAAAUAUUGGUAAUGGUUCUUGGAAGUGUCUCACAAAUACAUUUUCUGAAAAACUCAUUUUUGAGCAGUACUGGAAGUUUGCAAUAAAGAACAGCUUCCCAUCAAGCAAACUUUUUAAUGAUUUUUGUUAGAAUCUAGUUCUCUUUCCAUUCGUAUCACUGUGAUGCGAUUCAUUUCCCUAUUGCAGUGAGAACAGGAUCAGGCAUUGUAUGUAUGGAGACAAAGUGACUCUCUGUUAGGCUACAGUUUAGAAGAGACCUGGAUAAUUGAACACCAUAGUACGAAGUGCUGAAAACUACAAUUACUGGACCGUACAGAAAAUAUUAAAAAAUAAGAAAUGAA